UACGUAGGGGGCUAGCGUUGUCCGGAAUUAUUGGGCGUAAAGAGCUCGUAGGCGGUUUGUCGCGUCUGCUGUGAAAACUCAGGGCUUAACUCUGAGCUUGCAGUGGGUACGGGCAGACUAGAGUGCGGUAGGGGAGACUGGAAUUCCUGGUGUAGCGGUGAAAUGCGCAGAUAUCAGGAGGAACACCGGUGGCGAAGGCGGGUCUCUGGGCCGUAACUGACGCUGGAGGAGCGAAAGCAUGGGGAGCGAACAGG
rnacentral:rRNA from 1 species